UACGGAGGGUGCAAGCGUUACUCGGAAUUACUGGGCGUAAAGCGUGCGUAGGCGGUUCGUUAAGUCUGUCGUGAAAGCCCUGGGCUCAACCUGGGAAUUGCGAUGGAUACUGGCGAGCUAGAGUACGGUAGAGGAUGGUGGAAUUCCCGGUGUAGCGGUGAAAUGCGUAGAGAUCGGGAGGAACACCCGUGGCGAAGGCGGCCAUCUGGACCAGUACUGACGCUGAGGCACGAAAGCGUGGGGAGCAAACAGG
rnacentral:rRNA from 1 species